rnacentral:misc_RNA from 1 species
CAGGAGCGUGGCAGUGUUGGCGCCGACACCAUAACGCUCGGCCGUUGGUCGGGGUAACGCAUCAGUUAUGACCCAUACUAUAUACCCUUUCCCCUCACACAGCAGGCAAAGGAGAUGUUACACAAGCUGAAAGAAACACUGCAAUAGCUAACUAACACAAGAGACUCAAGGGCACGUGCUGCUUGAUUAACAACUCCAAGAGACAAAGCAAAACAGCGGGGACUGCCUCGCCUGGUGCGGUGUGGGCAUGGGAGGGUUCUGGGUGACGCAGCUGACAGUAGUGCUGGCGCUGCUGCCGGGACACUUAUUCACCAAGAUCGGUAAGUCAUGUCCUUGCCAAAAGUCCAGCGUCUACCCCAUGGUUGACGAUUCCUCUCAUACUAACACGGAAAGAACCAUUUUAUGCUGUAAAGACAUGCUAUUGGGCUACAAAGAUCCUGGAGCUUCCAUUCAAUGGUCAUUCAACGGUGAAGCUUUCUCAGAAAGAUGGCCCAGCUCAUUCACACCUGGCUAUUGCGACGAGACGCUCACUACCACAUCCGCAAAACUCAGUGAUAGCGGGAUCUACGGUUGCACAAUCACUGCCUCCAACGGCACUGUCAAAACCUUCAAAAUGUCUCUAUCUGUGGAACGCAACAUCAAUCAUCGUACGAAGCCGGAAUCGAUCAAGGGCUCCCCAAGCACCGUCGCUCAGUUAGAAGACAGAAUCACCUUGACCUGCGAAAGUUACGUAGGAACAAAUGAUACAAACAGAUACGGUGUAUUGAUGAAAUGGCGUAAAUAUUUACCGAACAACAACACUCAUACAUUCGUGGAAAGUCUUCCUAAUGUGACCAGGAUACGAAUCAACAACUCCAGCAAAGCAUCGUGGGGCAUACUGAAAGAAGAACUGGUUAUCUCAUCAGUUCAAGAAAUACAUUUCGGCCGUUAUGUGUGUACAGUGGCAAACAAUUUUGAUUCUCUCUCCUUCAACAUUACUUUAACAGAAGGAAUUCCAAAAGAGCAGGAAAAGAUACAGAAAUACAAGGCAACAGUGGCGGUGGUGGCAGGUCUACUGGGAGUGGUGUUGAUGCUGCUGUUAGGCUGGUGGCGCUGUGGUCGCCAAAUCUCCCUGUACUGCCGCAGAAGAUCAUUUUCCUCAGAGGACCACCAGUACGAUGUGUUCCUGGUUCACGGAGAGUCUGCCUCCCGCUGGGUGUGCUCCUUCCUGCUGCCGGCAUUGGAAGACUCCUUUGGCUACACGUGUUUCCUGCCACAACGGGACAUGUGCGGCGGUGAGAUGGUGGCAGAAUCCAUACUCGAGGCUCUGGGAAAGUGCCGUCGAGUUGUGGUGGUGAUGACACCGUGCCUACUUGACAGUCCCUGGGCCACUUGGGCCACCUGUAGCGGCAUCCAGACAGCCCUCACGUCCAGGGCACGCAUUCUUGCUCUUGUUCUCAAGGAGCAGAGCAUGAAGAGCGACUCUCUGCACCCAAACCCUUUCCUGAGCGUUCUGAAGGUGGUUAAGAAGAUUAAGUUGCCAGGGGAGUUUGCGAGGGACUUACGAGAACAGAGUCCGCCGCAUGAACCAUCUGAUAUACCUAUGCAAGAGAGCAACGACCAGAAGACGGAACUAAAAUUGAUAAUUCCUGAAAUAAAUGUCUGCAACAGCUCAUCCAACUCUCUAUCGAAAAGUCAAAGGUUGUCAAAUAUGAUCAGCGGGAGUAAUGCUGCCUCGAGGGAAGACCUAGAAUGCACAAAGAACAAACCGACAGUAGUUGGCUCUCCUGUUGUGUUUACGCUUGAUGAUCAGGAACCGCAAGAUCCUAGUUCCCCAAACUCAGUGACACCAUUCAUCUUUUCGUCCCAUCCCAAGUCUCAUAGACGUUCUGACGGCUCGAUGUGGGAGUCUGUUAGCUGGUGUCUCCAGAUGAUCUGCGUCGGGAAUCCGGAAGAGCAAUUUUGGCAGAAGCUGCGCCUUCACAUUGGUCCCCCUUUGCCUCAGCAGACCCAAGUGCAGUGACAAGUACGAGUAACACGCCCAGCACAACACGGGAGCUUUUACACUCCACGAACUAUGCAUCCUCCAUCUGCGGCCCCAGGUGACGUGCGACCCGCCACCGUAAAAUAAGCUCCACCCACCUGUGCACGGGUCGUAAAAGUGUCAUAAAUAACCAACGUUCUCAGACAACGACGUCUCCUCCAUUUCAAUGUCUUUUUUGUCUUACCUCCUCUUUUAUUUUUACUCGUACAUUAUAUAAUAUCCUUAUUU